CAACGUUACAUGUUUACUAGUCUCGAAUAUCUGACUGCAGGACUAUUUGCGAAACUUCAACAUUCAAGUAACAAUGAUCAAAGAAGGCCAUUGGAAUAUUGCAUUUUUAACUGCUGUACUCCUGUUCUCAGAUGUGUAUUCUGAAAAACGUCGUUAUGGAAAAUUCACAGCAUGUGUAAAUGCAGACCAAAGCCUAACACUUAAGUGCUUUUACCCUGCUUGUGACAAGACACCACCCUUUAAUUGUCACAUUUUUGAAGUUGACGAUGGCAUGAAAACUCAAAUUGGCAGCUCAGACAAAACAAUGGUAACCAGCAUUGUUUUAUUUUUAAAUGCCUCAGUUGAAUGCCAACUCAAUAUCAAAAAUCACACAGUGAUUUAUAAAAACAAGAGCAGAAUUUACACAUGCAGUCUAUCACGAAUGACAGCUACAGAAGAGAAGAAUAUCACAGUGAGAUACUCUGGAAAAGCUCCAGAAAACCCGAAGAUUUGCCGUGCAGAUGGGCUGUUCCCACAUGGACUCUCAGGAAUGCUGCUGUGGUCUAUUUCAAUUGUUUUCUUCCAGAAGAGUUAUUUGUAAACAGACAUGUUCAACUCAAAACGUGGUGAUGAGUUACAGAUACAUACAGCACAUAAACCCACAAAACUGUUGAUUACAGUUGAAAUGCAUGUUGAAAAUGAUUUCUUUUUUCUCUGUGGCCCAAAUAGAUAUAAAUAUAUUCAACGAUUCAAAAUGCAGAACAAAGACUUAAACCGCAACAACCACUCACUUCUCUUAAUGAAUAACUGCAGCAGACUUUAUAAAGUAUGCUAAAGUAGCAGCUACAGGUCCUCUGUAUCAGCUAGCAGUUAUGUGUUCAGCAACCUGAAUCUGUGGAAUGAUGAAAUAAAGACAAGUGUGAUAAAUGUGAAAAAUGUGAAAAAUAUAGCAACACACAUAUAGACACAUAGCGUCCUCUAGAGGUCUGGUAGUACCAUCAUUCCCUUCAAUGGAUUUUCUCAUUCAUAAAAUAAUUGUCUCCAAGGUCCCAAGCCCGGUGGUUCUGAAGGCGUCUGUUACCGAAGUCCCGUCCCUGGAGUCUGCUCUACCCGGUUGUGGUUGCAGCCUUGUGAUGUAGGCCUUUUGCUUUUCCGCUUCAGAGGCCACUGACGAGGUGGACGCUGUGGACUGUUCAGUGCCAAAUGCCUCAGACAAGAUGACUGCUCUGACAUUUCCUACCACACCCAAGCCUCAACCCGUACAUCGUCCAGCCCUGCCGCUUUCGCUCCCAACCACAGUGUCCGUGCAGGGGUGCAGUGCCGACCCUAGACGUCUGGGAGCCCUAACCAAACCUUUGUGGGGGGACUUGUCAUAGUUAAAUUUACAUCAACAGAACUGUUAGCUAUAAGAAAUGAAAAUUAUAAAUCAAUUAACACACUUAAAUGAAUAAAAACUGAAAGACAAAAAACAUUCAACUGACAGUUAGAACAAUUAAGUUUUAAAUUAAAUUGUGUCAGCGGCGGAGCUCGAACUCGAGUCUCCGAUAUAAGAGACUUCAUAAGUGUAGAUUCAUUAUUUGUUUGGAAUUAUUGGUAAGGACCAUUUAGCGUUCCAAAUCGACGCCCUAUGAUAACAAUAGCCUAUGCAUUAUGAUUUAUUU